rnacentral:lncRNA from 1 species
AUGGGACAAAACCAGGGCAAGGAGGGGGAGCUAGGGCAGGACAACAGCUCUGCAGGACUAGAGGAAAAGGGACCAAGCCCAGACCCUGGGGGGGCAAAAGAGGAAGGAAAUCUAACCAUUGAAACUCAUGGUGUCGGGAAAGAUGAGGAGAACACAGCCGGUGGAGGGUUGGACGGAGGCCCAGGCAGGGAGUCACCAUCACCUACACCAGUGCACGGUUUGGAUUCUCAUGAUAAGGUGUGCGCUCCCACGGAUGGGGGGGUUGCCGAGGGAGGAGAUGGCGUGAAGGAGGGAGGAAGAAAGAGUAGUGAGGAAGGCAGGGCUGGACCGCUGGCUCCACAGCAGCUGAAUGGAAUCGCACAGUCUGCCAGUGAACCAGACCACGAGAGAAAAGACUUGGAGAGUACACAAGAACACCGUCAGGGGAACUUUAGGUGUGACCUUCCUGCUAAGGACAAAGUUGAAAGCGUUUGCAAAGGAGAAAACAAGAGUAAGAAGUGCGCUUCACAUGUAAAGAACGAAAUGGAGUCUGUCUGUGGAGAUGACGACAAGCUAAAGAGCCAGGAGGAGGACAGAAAUCUCGAUUGUCAAGCUACCUGUGAUAUUACAGGGCCUACCUUGCAGAUUCUGGAAGAGAAGGACAGCAACAGAAAUGUUCACUUCACAGUCCAAGACCAAGCGUUAGUCAUUACAGAAAACAAGCUGAAGACCAGCAUGACUGAAUCGCAAAACAAGAAGCUGAUUAACAAGCCCACAACAUCAAACCUCGUGUUGAACUCACAAGCGGAAACAUCAAAGGACAUCACUGAGGCAACUGAGCACAGCAAUGAAGAAAUACAGAAGAAGCUGCCAGAGAAGAACGUUGAAACCCAAGGGUGGUCAGUGAAGGGUGUCUACGGAGCCAGAGAACCAGAAACCUCCAGCGCUGAACGCUCGUCCCUGAUGAAUGUAGACACCCAGGGGCGGUCAAUGAAGGAUGUCUGUAGAGCCAGAGAAAACGUUACGGGGCGUCAGCCAACAGAUGAUGUCAUAAAGACCAGAUUUACUAGUUCAUCUCUGGCAGGUGCGGAUUUACCAUGCAAAGCUGUCAGUCUGAACCUAGAGGACCUCAGCGCCUUAGAAGUGGCAUCCAAGAAGAGCUAUCGACAAAUAUCUGCGGGUGAAUUCACACAGGACGAGCUUCAGAAAGAAAGACAAUUUAAUGUGUCAGACUCGGAGAGCCCUUGGACCAAGGAACCUUCACUUGGGAGAUCACCCGCUGGAGGUCAUAAAAUAAAGAUGGCAUGA